CCUGUCUCCUCAAAUGGCUCCUGGGAUGUUAAACUCUUUGUCCACCGUAACCCAGAGCAUUGGCUUCCUCUUGAGCAGCAGGCAGUGAACUUGGUCACAAGACUCCCAUUCCAGAGAGCGCAGAGCCGGAAGGAAGAAUCUAGACAGACAGGCCUUGCUGGGCUUCUGCACUCAGUCUGCUAGCAGUAGGUCAUACCCUUCUUGCCCAGUCAUAUUUCUACAUGGCUGUCCACACUUUGCUGGAUGUCAGCAUAAAAAUAGACAAUUUCCCUGUAUCAGUGGUCUUUGUCUGAAGGCUCCCGUGGUGUAUACAUGUUAAAUAAAUGUGCCCGCCUUUUCUCCAACUAACCUGCGUCUUGUGAGUUCAUUUUUCAGGGAACCUUCCAUGGCCCCUCCAGCGGGCCCUGCGAUGGCCACACACACUGGUGACUGGUAGGCUGCAGGCAAACCAGCCUACUUAGGGGAGAAGAAGAGUAUGACAUAUUGAGCCGGAACCCAUGGCCAGUCAUGGCGCUAACGGCUUCACAGGCCCGGCCAGCCGCUUCCCACUCUACAGAGGAAGAAGAGAAAUGAGAAAGUCGUGGGGAACUCCUCGAGGUCCUCAGAAAAGCGUGGUCUAUGGGCCUCAAAUGCUGGCUUUUCCCACUGCACCUGGGUUUGCUUGACUUUCAAAACCUUCCUGGAUGUUGGAUUUCAUGCCGUGGGUGUGCUGAGUCCCCUGUCACCACAUUUGGGUGUGGGACAGGGAUGGCAACAGUAGGGGAGGGAGAAGGUAGUGGGAAGUGGGACUUUAUUAUUGCCAAGAAAAUGUAAAGCCCAGGACUCGAGUGUUUGCCUCAGGAGUUGAACCCUCCCACCCACUCCAGGACAAAGGGGCUGCAGCUGUGGCGGUGAGGGGGUGGGUAUAAGUCCACACUGCUCUGGAGUUUGAUGGGUGGGCCAAUGUCACGCUGGGGCCUCGAGAUAAGAAGGCCCCGACUUGGAGGCGACGCGAGUCUUUUCACUGCUUUCUUCCCGUCCGGAGUCGGGAGCUGCCAACAAACUAGAGUUCUGAACAAGCGCACGGUGUGGGAGCAGCUUUGUGUCCAAAGAGGCUCUGGCUGAACUGUUGGGCUGUGACUGCUGCCCAGGCGUUUAUAGCUUUAUGACUCGGCGUCCGGAAUCUGGUCAAGGCUGCCUGGGUUCGAAUCCUGGCUCUGCACUUACCCGCCACGCGGGCCUUGCGCCUGGUUCUUGGUUAACUCCCUCCACCUGACAGGGGAUAAAAUGGAGUGAUGCACGUGCUUGAAGCAUUGAGCACCAGCCUGGCACACAGUAAAUGCUUCUUAAACGUUAGGUCUGCUAAGGGCUCUGCCCCUUUCCAGAUGAUUCAGCAAACUUUCUGCAAGAGCCUCUGUGUUCUCUACGACCACCCACUGGCUCCCUCGGCCGGCGUAUUCAAGCCCCCGGGGGAACAGGGGCAUCGCGAACAGGACUAGUGCUUUGGGGUUCACCCGCCUCCUGGGCCAUCCUGAUGGUCGUGAAUUUUUAGGUGCUAAUUUGCUUGAACCAGGCCCCACCUGGACCAGAACGCAGCGUGCAGCCGCGCCGCGCACACCAGCUCUGCCCACUAGGUGGC